rnacentral:snRNA from 1 species
AGCUCAUCCCUACUCUUCAAUCGAAUAAAUCUUUCGCCUUUUAUUAAAAAUUUCCGUGGAGAGGAACAAGUACGAGUUAAUGGGAAUUUUUGCAGGUCUGACCUCGGUCAGGCA